UACGUAGGGUGCGAGCGUUAAUCGGAAUUACUGGGCGUAAAGCGUGCGCAGGCGGUGAUGUAAGACAGGUGUGAAAUCCCCGGGCUCAACUUGGGAACUGCAUUUGUGACUGCAUCGCUGGAGUGCGGCAGAGGGGGAUGGAAUUCCGCGUGUAGCAGUGAAAUGCGUAGAUAUGCGGAGGAACACCGAUGGCGAAGGCAAUCCCCUGGGCCUGCACUGACGCUCAUGCACGAAAGCGUGGGGAGCAAACAGG
rnacentral:rRNA from 1 species